UACAGAGGGGGCAAGCGUUGUUCGGAAUUACUGGGCGUAAAGGGCGCGUAGGCGGCCUUCUAAGUCGAACGUGAAAUCCCCGGGCUCAACCCGGGAACUGCGUCCGAUACUGGAAGGCUUGAAUCCGGGAGAGGGAUGUGGAAUUCCAGGUGUAGCGGUGAAAUGCGUAGAUAUCGGGAAGAACACCCGUGGCGAAGGCGGCUCUCUGGGACGGUACUGACGCUGAGACGCGAAAGCGUGGGGAGCGAACAGG
rnacentral:rRNA from 1 species